AAGAUGAAGGUUACAGAAGAUUCGAAGGAUAAAGUUGAGGAGAAAGAGGUUAUCGUUUUGAGUGAUGAAGAUGACGAAGGAGAUGAUUCCGCGGAGGAAGUAGACGACGGUGAUGACGACGGAGACGAAGAUGAUGACGGUGAUGACGACGGAGAUGAGGACGAUGAUGAAGAGGAUGACGAUGAUGCUCCUGGCGGAGAUGACGAUGAUGAAGAUGAGGAUGACGACGAUGAAGAAGCAGGUGCCGGUGAGCGUGGUGGUGACCCUGACGACGACGACGACGAUGAUGAGAACGACGAUGAUGAUGAUGAGGAGAACGAUGAAGAGG
rnacentral:lncRNA from 1 species